AACGAACGCUGGCGGCAUGCCUAACACAUGCAAGUCGAACGAUCCCUUCGGGGAUAGUGGCGCACGGGUGCGUAACGCGUGGGAACCUGCCCUUAGGUUCGGAAUAACUCAGAGAAAUUUGAGCUAAUACCGGAUAAUGUCUUCGGACCAAAGAUUUAUCGCCUUUGGAUGGGCCCGCGUUGGAUUAGCUAGUUGGUGGGGUAAAGGCCUACCAAGGCGACGAUCCAUAGCUGGUCUGAGAGGAUGAUAAGCCACACUGGGACUGAGACACGGCCCAGACUCCUACGCGAGGGAGCAGUGGGGAAUACUGGACAAUGGACGAAAGUCUAAUCCAGCAAUGCCGCGUGAGUGAUGAAGGCCUUAGGGUUGUAAAGCUCUUUUACCCGGGAUGAUAAUGACAGUACCGGGAGAAUAAGCCCCGGCUAACUCCGUG
rnacentral:rRNA from 1 species